GCGCGAGUGGCGAAAUUGGCAGACGCGCUGGAUUUAGGUUCCAGUGUCUUCGGACGUGGGGGUUCAAGUCCCUCCUCGCGCAC
rnacentral:tRNA from 1 species